CCUGUUGAUGCCAGUAAACCUAAUCCAAAUGGCGUGGAGUUUGGUAAUCUGUAUUUGGAUAUGAAUGGAAUCAUCCAUCCCUGUACUCAUCCUGAAGACAAACCAGCAGCAAAAAACGAAGAUGAAAUGAUGGUUGCAAUUUUUGAAUACGUUGACAGACUUUUCAAUAUAGUAAGACCAAGACGACUUCUCUACAUGGCAAUAGAUGGAGUGGCACCAUGUGCUAAAAUGAACCAGCAGCGUUCGAGGAGGUUCAGAGCAUCAAAGGAAGGAAUGGAAGCAGCAGUAGAGAAGCAGCGAGUCAGGGAAGAAAUACUGGCAAAAGGUGGCUUUCUUCCUCCAGAAGAAAUAAAAGAAAGAUUUGACAGCAACUGUGUUACACCAGUAAGUAGUCUCAGACUUUGC